CCCUGCAAGACGGAGGUAACAGAUUGCACAAACACAUUGAAACAUUUUCAGCUGUUCACUAACACUGUUACAUUUUCUGGAAUUUUCAAUGCAAUGGGAGAAUACGUAAGUAAGAUAGAGAAAAACUAUCGACAUUAUAAACAUAUUGUGAUGUUAACUUGUUAGAAUAGGAGAGGCGAAUACCCAAUAUUUCAAGAAGAAUAAACGAAAAGCGCAGUUUAUUUUGGAUUUUAAAGAGAGAAAACGAAAGAGGUUAACAAGGAGAAAAAGAAAUCAUUUGGACCAUUGGUAAAAUUCAAAUCUAUUGCGUGCAGCAACCAAAUAAUGGAGUAUGUUUUAAAUUAUUAAAGUUAAAUAGUGUAUAUUUCAUUCAAAUAUUUGUUAUAGAUUGUGCAUUUUAUUUUGAUUUUAUUAUUAAAUAAAGAGAAAUAAUAAAAAACUGAGUUUUAUUUAAAAGAAUUUAAUUUGCUAGAAGUAACAAAUGGGUAACAGAUAAUCUUGUUACUGCUUGUUCUUCCUAACAUGCUUAUAUGUUAAAGGUAACAAACUGAUAACCAAAAUAAUAACACUAACAGAUAUUCGGGUAACAAAUACUUUUUGUUAUCCAUAACACAU